UACGUAGGGACCAAGCGUUGUUCGGAUUUACUGGGCGUAAAGGGCGCGUAGGCGGCGUGGUAAGUCACUUGUGAAAUCUCUGAGCUUAACUCAGAACGGUCAAGUGAUACUGCUGUGCUAGAGUGCGGAAGGGGCAAUCGGAAUUCUUGGUGUAGCGGUGAAAUGCGUAGAUAUCAAGAGGAACACCUGAGGUGAAGACGGGUUGCUGGGCCGUUACUGACGCUGAGGAGCGAAAGCGUGGGGAGCGAACAGG
rnacentral:rRNA from 1 species